rnacentral:rRNA from 1 species
GCGUUUAAUAUAGCGUUAGUCGGAUUAUUGGGCGUAAGGGCUCGCAGGCGGUUCCUUAAGUCUGAUGUGAAAGCCCCCGGCUCAACCGGGGAGGGUCAUUGGAAACUGGGGAACUUGAGUGCAGAAGAGGAGAGUGGAAUUCCACGUGUAGCGGUGAAAUGCGUAGAGAUGUGGAGGAACACCAGUGGCGAAGGCGACUCUCUGGUCUGUAACUGACGCUGAGGAGCGAAAGCGUGGGGAGCGAACAGGAUUAGAUACCCUGGUAGUCCACGCCGUAAACGAUGAGUGCUAAGUGUUAGGGGGUUUCCGCCCCUUAGUGCUGCAGCUAACGCAUUAAGCACUCCGCCUGGGGAGUACGGUCGCAAGACUGAAACUCAAAGGAAUUGACGGGGGCCCGCACAAGCGGUGGAGCAUGUGGUUUAAUUCGAAGCAACGCGAAGAACCUUACCAGGUCUUGACAUCCUCUGACAAUCCUAGAGAUAGGACGUCCCCUUCGGGGGCAGAGUGACAGGUGGUGCAUGGUUGUCGUCAGCUCGUGUCGUGAGAUGUUGGGUUAAGUCCCGCAACGAGCGCAACCCUUGAUCUUAGUUGCCAGCAUUCAGUUGGGCACUCUAAGGUGACUGCCGGUGACAAACCGGAGGAAGGUGGGGAUGACGUCAAAUCAUCAUGCCCCUUAUGACCUGGGCUACACACGUGCUACAAUGGACAGAACAAAGGGCAGCGAAACCGCGAGGUUAAGCCAAUCCCACAAAUCUGUUCUCAGUUCGGAUCGCAGUCUGCAACUCGACUGCGUGAAGCUGGAAUCGCUAGUAUCGCGGAUCAGCAUGCCGCGGUGAUACGUUCCCGGGCCUUGUACACACCGCCGUCACACCACGAGAGUUUGUAACACCCGAAGUCGUGAGGUACCUUUUAGAGCAACCCCGAGUGGGACAUGUGUGAGCUAUC